rnacentral:rRNA from 1 species
GUAACAGCUCACUGGUCUAGUGGUUCCGCGCCGACAAUGUAGCGGGGCUCAAGCACACCACCGAAGACGCGGCAGCAAUCUUCAUGGUUGCUGGGUAGGAGAGCGUCCUGCGAGGGGCGAAGCGGCGGUGGAAACCGGCCGUGGACUUCGUGGGAGUGAGAAUGCAGACAUGAGUAGCGAGAGACGGGUGAGGAUCCCGUCCGCUGGAUGACCAAGGGUUCCGGGGCCACGUUCGUCGUCCCCGGGUGAGUCGGGUCCUAAGGCGAGGCCGACAGGCGUAGUCGAAUGGAUGAACGGGUGGAUAUUCCCGUACCGACCAUGGACCGGCAAAACCGAGACGGUGAGUACUAACCUCCGCCUCGUGGUGGUUCCUUCCUUCGGGUUGGUAUCGCCGCGUGGUGUUGGGAGCGUAGCCGCAGUAGGUCAGCGCAGGGGUGACACGGAAUGGGAGCCGGCCGCGGAGGUGGUUUUCCGUGGUCAAGCACGCAGCCAGUCAUGUAGGCAAAUCCGCAUGGCRUGCAUGGCGAGGUGUGAUGAUGGGAGCCGUUAUGGUUCGAUAUCCGGUUGUCCAGGCCGUCGAGAAAAGCCUCGGCGUGAGGGCYAUGGCCGCCCGUACCCCAAACCGACACUGGUGGUCAGGUAGAGAAUACCAAGGCGAUCGAGCGAAUCCUGGUCAAGGAACUCGGCAAAUCACUCCCGUGCCUUCGGUAUAAGGGAGACCCACUGGGGUGAAGGACCUUGCGUCCGGAGCUUUGGUGGGUGGCACAGACCAGGGGGUAGCGACUGUUUACCAAAAACACAGGUGCAUGCGAAGGCGAAAGCCGCUGUAUAUGCACUGACGCCUGCCCGGUGCCGGAAGGUUAAGAGGAUCCGUCAAUCCCUUCGGGGACGAAGCGGUGAAUUCAAGCCCCGGUAAACGGCGG